rnacentral:rRNA from 1 species
AGGUGCGAUCAUACCAGCGUUGAUGCACCGAAUCCCAUCAGAACUCCGCAGUUAAGUGCGAUUGGGCCAGAGUAGUACUAGGAUGGGUGACCUCCCGUGAAGUCUUAGUAUUGCACCCU